UGGCCAGACUCCUACGGGAGGCAGCAGUGAGGAAUAUUGGUCAAUGGGAGGAAUCCUGAACCAGCCAUGCCGCGUGCAGGACGACGGCUCUACGAGUUGUAAACUGCUUUUGUACCGGGGUAAAAUGCCUUACGAGUAGGGUUUUGAAAGUACGGUACGAAUAAGGAUCGGCUAACUCCGUGCCAGCAGCCGCGGUAAUACGGAGGAUCCGAGCGUUAUCCGGAUUCAUUGGGUUUAAAGGGUGCGUAGGCGGUUUGAUAAGUUAGAGGUGAAAUGUCGGGGCUCAACCCCGAAACUGCCUCUAAUACUGUUGGACUAGAGAAUAGUUGCGGUAGGCGGAAUGUAUGGUGUAGCGGUGAAAUGCUUAGAGAUCAUACAGAACACCGAUUGCGAAGGCAGCUUACCAAACUAUAUCUGACGUUGAGGCACGAAAGCGUGGGUAGCAAACAGGAUUAGAUACCCCAGUAU
rnacentral:rRNA from 1 species